ACAGAUAUAUUUUCCUCUCUUUUCAUUGCUUGCCAGCUCCAAGGUGGACACAGGCUAAAAGUCAACAUAAUGGUCUACAGCAAGGAGAACUCAAGCUGUUCUGAAUCUUCUAGAAGUCACUUUAUUGUACUCUGAAACAAGCAGAGAAAAAACUUGCCUUCCCAAAGUCAUCCAAGGCCAAGAAGCCUGAGUAAAUUUAAAUAUGAUCUCUACUUUUCCAACUUAUUCUUACACCACCAUAGCAGACAAAAUCGACAUAGCCUAUAUCACCAAGAAAUGCUUCACUUCCAAGGUAAAGUUUUCAUGAAGUCUUUUGCAGGCAUGAGCACAGCAAAAACUCAAGAUUCAAAUGUUCCUAAGUACUUUGUUGACAUCACUUGAAAUAAUCUUCUCAAUUUAUCAUCAUGAACAGAAUACAGAGGCCGAGAAUGUCCUGUGGCAAAGAAGCAGCUUUAUCAGAUGCAAGUUGGACAUCGCCCU
rnacentral:lncRNA from 1 species